AAGUGAAACAUGCUUUCUGUUUGUUUUUUUCGGCCAUGUGCUGGGAAAGCUUGAACAUGGACCUUGAAAGUGCUUAAAAAGUGCUUGAAUUGGAGCCAGAAAAAGGCGUAUGAACCCUUGAUUGGGAGGUGAUGGAGUCUGAAACCAUGUGAUCACUGAGAAUUGGAAACGGGUGCAGCGAUUCACUGAAACGUGCAAAUAUUCAUUAAAAAUACAGAAUACGAGGCAAAAAUCAAGUCUUUACAGUUGUAACGAGCUUGAACGUGAAUGUUUGGUCUGACCUUCAUCCUUCAGCUCACUCUGAACUCUCUGAGCAGCUCUCUGUCGUCUCUGUGAGGACCUGCAGGAACACUUCUCCAGACUUCUUGAAGGACAUUCAAAGCUCUUCUGCCUUUUCUUGAUUAUGUUGAUGAUUCCACACUGUUUAUGUCCUGCCGAGCUUUGUGCUCUGGGAAUGCCAGACCAUGACUGAUAUUUUGUAGAUCAGAAUGCGUAGUUGUGAACUGAGUUUUGUAAGGUUGUGUUUAGCAUUAAGUGUUGUGGUGCUGAUGAAAGUCCUGCUGGCAGAAAUGACCUUCAGCCAGAAAGGUUGAUGGUCAGGAUGAACCUGGACACUUCUUUGUACACAUGUGUGUCGUAUGUUUUGUAUUAUAAUUACUGAUAGAGACAGACGAGACUCUGUACAGUGGAACCCCAACUUAUGGAAUAAAUUCGUUCCAGAGGGUCUUUCGUAAGUCAAAAUUUUCGUAAGUCGAAGCACCUUUUUCCAUCGCAUUUUGAGUGAGGCGAUGCUGGCUGAAGACGAAGUUCUUGGUGGAGGAGGACCUCGCUCAUAUUUUCAAUAAUUUCUCUCUUUGUUUCCAUUGAGAGCACUUUACGCUUCUUCUUUUCACUCGAAUCACUUGCAGAAAGUUUUUUCGGCCCCAUUAUGAAUGAACGAUAGGCUAUUUGCAAACGAAAAGCACACGAAAUAGCGCACUGCAACAACAAUACGUCUUUCACGUGGAACAGCGAAAUGCAAGUACGAAAGCCGAGGGGUUAUCACAUGAUUCGGAAGGCAUUCUGGGCUCAGCCAGCGGAUUUCGUUACGCGGGCAU
ensembl:lncRNA